rnacentral:rRNA from 1 species
GGGGUAAACCUGCGAAACUCGAAUGAACGAACGGAGAGAUUCAUCUUCAUUCCGCCGCGUACGGAUGUCGCGAUUCGAUGUCGUUCGAUUCUUUCGAUUCGACACGACGUGCUUACGUAGACGUCGGCGGAGGUAGUGCACUUCUCUCUUAGUAAAUACAUCGCGACCCGUUCGAUGUCGGUCUAAGCGCCGUUCGGGAGCCCCACGGACCCUUCGCGGGGUCUGUGGGACCGCGACGGUUGCCGACCGGCCGUCGGACGGUAGUUCUGACGAAACGCGCACGCGUUUUUAACGCGUCCGGCCCGACGCAAGUCAACGUCGUAUCCAACGUACCGCCUCAGCGCGGACGUAGGUGCGGCGCGUCUGUUGUUGCCGCCGUGCAGUCUCGGACUGUGCGCGUCUCUGUCUGCGAUGAUUCAGUUUCGGGCACUCGCAGGACCCGUCUUGAAACACGGACCAAGGAGUCUAGCAUGUAUGCGAGUCAUUGAGACAUUAAAACUGAAAGGCGCAACGAAAGUGAGAGGGCGCACGCUUGCCGCGCGCUCGGGGAGGAUGGAGCGUCGAUCUCGGUCGAUCUCUCGCACUCCCGAGGCGUCUCGUUUCCAAUCCGUGAAGUAGGCGCGCUC